rnacentral:rRNA from 1 species
AGUAGGGAAUAUUGGACAAUGGGGGCAACCCUGAUCCAGCCAUGCCGCGUGAGUGAUGAAGGCCUUCGGGUUGUAAAGCUCUUUAGUCAGGGAAGAUAAUGACGGUACCUGAAGAAUAAGCCCCGGCUAACUCCGUGCCAGCAGCCGCGGUAAGACGGAGGGGGCUAGCGUUGUUCGGAAUCACUGGGCGUAAAGGGCGCGUAGGCGGCCUAGCAAGUCAGGCGUGAAAUCCCGGGGCUUAACCUCGGAACUGCGCUUGAAACUGCAAGGCUUGAGUCUCGGAGAGGAUGGUGGAAUUCCUAGUGUAGAGGUGAAAUUCGUAGAUAUUAGGAGGAACACCGAUGGCGAAGGCAGCCAUCUGGACGAGUACUGACGCUGAGGCGCGAAAGCGUGGGGAGCAAA